rnacentral:rRNA from 1 species
UACGUAGGUGGCAAGCGUUGUCCGGAAUUAUUGGGCGUAAAGCGCGCGCAGGCGGUCCUUUAAGUCUGAUGUGAAAGCCCACGGCUCAACCGUGGAGGGUCAUUGGAAACUGAGGGACUUGAGUGCAGAAGAGGAAAGCGGAAUUCCACGUGUAGCGGUGAAAUGCGUAGAGAUGUGGAGGAACACCAGUGGCGAAGGCGGCGUUUCUGGUCUGUAAACUGACGCUGAGGCGCGAAAGCGUGGGGAGCAACAGG